ensembl:rRNA 5S_rRNA 5S ribosomal RNA
CUCUACAACCAUACCACCAUGAAUGUGCCUGAUCUGGUCUGACCUCAGAAGCUAAACAGGGUCAGGCCUGAUUAGAUGAUUUGCAGGUAUCUGAUUCCUUAAAGAUUUGGCCACCAAUGUCCUGGUUGAGG